AUUGGAGCAGCUGGUGAUGACUUUGGUCAGAUUUCUGUGGCGAAGGUUGCGGAGUAUCUCACAUUCCGUGUCAAAACUUUUGAAUGCACCCUCCAAUUGCACAUUGAAUACCUUUGCUGCAAAAAUGAUACCAUCCUUAAGUAUCCCUUUAUAAACCAUGCUGAAACUCCCAUUACCAAGCAAGUUGGCUUCGUUGAAUCCUUCAGUUGCCUGUUCAAGUUCAUAAUAUGAAAUUCUUUCAUGCCCUUUUACGAGAGACACAUCCUUUUGACUUGCAUUCUUCUUUGUGUUUCUCAAUCUUAACACCACAAUUCCAACGUCCCUUUAUAAACCCUGCUGAAACUCCCAUUACCAAGCAAGUUGGCUUCGUUGAAUCCUUCAGUUGCCUGUUCAAGUUCAUAAUAUGAAAUUCUUUCAUGCCCUUUUACGAGAGACACAUCUUUUUGAUUUGCACUCUUCUUUGUGUUUCUCAAUCUUAACACCACAAAUCCAACAGCCAACGUGAAGAGUGAUCCAAUCCCUAAUAGAAUAUAUAAAGCGGUAAGCACUUGUUUUCUUCUUGACUUCUUUGUAGAUUUGGUUAGGCAUGGUUUUACGUUAAAUCGGGAGUCGCCACAAAGUGCAUCAUUGGACAAGAAAGAUUGACUGGUGACAUUUGCAAAGGUACUACCAGUGGGAAUUUCUCCACUGAAUUUAUUGAAUGAGAAAUUCAUGUGUUUGAGAUACACAAGAGCUUCUAUUGACUUUGGAAUUUCACCACUAAGAUUGUUAUACGACAAAUCCAAGUAUUCCAAGGACAACAUUUUGC
rnacentral:lncRNA from 1 species